AACGAACGCUGGCGGCAGGCUUAACACAUGCAAGUCGAACGCCCCGCAAGGGGAGUGGCAGACGGGUGAGUAACACGUGGGAACGUACCCUUUACUACGGAAUAACGCAUGGAAACGUGUGCUAAUACCGUAUGUGCCCUAUUGGGGAAAGAUUUAUCGGUAAAGGAUCGGCCCGCGUUGGAUUAGCUAGUUGGUGGGGUAAAGGCCUACCAAGGCGACGAUCCAUAGCUGGUCUGAGAGGAUGAUCAGCCACAUUGGGACUGAGACACG
rnacentral:rRNA from 1 species